GACGAACGCUGGCGGCGUGCUUAACACAUGCAAGUCGAACGGAAAGGCCCUGCUUUUGUGGGGUGCUCGAGUGGCGAACGGGUGAGUAACACGUGAGUAACCUGCCCUUGACUUUGGGAUAACUUCAGGAAACUGGGGCGAAUACCGGAUAGGAGCUCCUGCUGCAUGGUGGGGGUUGGAAAGAUUCGGCGGUUGGGGAUGGACUCGCGGCUUAUCAGCUUGUUGGUGGGGUAGUGGCUUACCAAGGCUUUGACGGGUAGCCGGCCUGAGAGGGUGACCGGCCACAUUGGGACUGAGAUACGGCCCAGACUCCUACGGGAGGCAGCAGUGGGGAAUAUUGCACAAUGGGCGGAAGCCUGAUGCAGCAACGCCGCGUGCGGGAUGACGGCCUUCGGGUUGUAAACCGCUUUCGCCUGUGACGAAGCGUGAGUGACGGUAAUGGGUAAAGAAGCACCGGCUAACUACGUG
rnacentral:rRNA from 1 species